AUGGGAACUUCCCUCCCCAAGUGGUGGGAAGUUACAGUUAACUACAACUUAACUAUCACUCACUUCCAGAGGUUUAGUGUUUUUAAUAUGGGAAAGAGGAGAAAUCUCAGGUCCAAUCAGGGUUCUGCCCAUCAGCUUUUCACUGAAACUUUCAAUCGUGGGUUUUUUUUUUCCCAUCUUUCAGUUUCUAGCUGUGUUUGCUUCCUCCCUCCAUGUUGCCUCCUCUUUUUUUUGCUUUUGGUCUCCUUUCCAGCUUCAUGUCUCCAUGAGUUCAGCUGUACCUUGUCUCCUGUUAAAUCUGAUCAUGUCCACUUUUUCUUACUGACCUUACUCAAAGCUACGGUAGCUGAGGGAGUUACAGUGAAAAGACAUGUAGCGUUUGCCUUAUUCGGAGCCUGAAGAGCCCAGAAACUCAUGCUGUGAAUCCCAAAACUCAGCACUCCUCAAGAGCUGUGAAAAUCAUGAUACUUUGUCACAAUUUUGCCUGAAAGGGUCUUUGGCACGAGCUCCAGAGCCAACCUGAGGUCCAUUCCAGAUCCUACUCUCUGGGCAUGAGACCUCCCCCAUGGCUCCUUCCUCGCCCACUGGGCCAAGAGCAGCAGGGAGCGUACAGGACGGCAGCAGCAGAUCCAAGGCCACAGUGCAGCUGAUGACUGCAUGGCCAUAGCUCCGUGUCCAGGCUGGGAUUCCGUCUCAUAAUCAAUGCCAUGUACAUUAAGAUCUGUGAAAGACCAACUUUUAGGCAGUGAUACUUUUCUCCCAUUCCCUGGGGUGGGGGGAGUAUGCAGUUGGUGCUUUCUGUAAUUCCCUUGUUCUGUUUUGUUUCUGUAAGCUUUCCCCCUGGUGUCAUGGAAAGGACCUCUUAAAUAACCACAUUGUGGGUGGCUGUAUCCAAAGUUUAAAUAAUUGGCCAGAAGUGCAGAGUAUCCUUUCCUGGAUCCAUUGUCAGGAAAGGGCUCCUUGCCAGAACUGAACUUGUUAUAUAAAAACCUGGCUAGGGAGAUUUAAUUUUACUAAAAUUACAGUUUAAUGUUACCAUCUAGCCACAAAUCGAGCAGCAAAAGCCAUUUUGAUGACGAAGGGGGGUCCUUGUUGAGCCGGCCAUCUAGUGCAGUGUGCUCUCAGAUACAAUGCUUGUUGAUUGUGUGUCUUCACAAGCCCCUCUCUGGUGCUGAAUUGGAUUUGAAUUCUUCGUGAGAGGCCUCAGCAUCUCCUUGGGCUGGUCUGGGCCAGUAAAAAUAGCUGCCUGACAUGUUUAUAUAUUAUCAUGGUCAGUAGUUCAAUGAAAUUUGUACAUUUUUGGUAACAUUGGUAUACAUGAUGCCCCUGCAGUUCCUUUUCUGUUUGGUAGUUUGUGACUCUAAAAAUUUCCACUGUUAUGUGUGUUAAUUUAUGAAAAUAAAUUUUUUUGAAAACCUUUCA
rnacentral:lncRNA from 1 species